rnacentral:rRNA from 1 species
GAUGAACGCUGGCGGCGUGCCUAAUACAUGCAAGUCGAACGAAACUUUUUUGUCCCCGAGCGCUUGCCCUCACCGAUAAAGGGUUGAGUGACGAAUGGAUGACUUACCUGUAAGCAAGGUAUCCCAAAGAGGGAGAUGACCUUUGAACACAGGAUCUAUUGCCCCAUAAGCAUCGUUACUGCAAGACGCCUUUGUAAAAGGUGACAGUUCUACCGCCUUUGGAUUGGCCCGCGGCGCAUUAGCUAGUUGGGAGGGUAAAGGCUUACCAAGGCAAUGAUGCGUAGCCGAAUUGAGAGGUUGAUCGGCCACAUUGGAACUGAGACACGGUCCAGACUCCUACGGGAGGCAGCAGUAGGGAAUCUUCCGCAAUGGGCGAAAGCCUGACGGAGCAACGCCGCGUGGGUGAAGAAGGUCUUCGGAUCGUAAAACUCUGUUAUUAGAGAAGAAAGUAUGUGUGAGUAACUGUGCACGUUUUGACGGUACCUAACCAGAAAGCCACGGCUAACUACGUG